AAAGUUUUGGAGAGAAAGUGACUGCAUGUUGGCAAUGAAGUACACCAGUGUUUCGUAGUUUUUGAAAUCUGAAUUCUUUAAAUGAUAGGUUUGAUUUCUAAUGGAUUGUGGAAAUUUAUUGUCACUCUAUAGACAUGAGAAUCUCUGAUACCAGCUAAUGUUUUCAUUUCUUUCUUUGUUGAUUUCAAAUAGAUCAGAGGUUGGAUUUAUGCAAACCUGGGCCAAAGGACAGUUAGAAGACGGUAAGUAACUGGUAAAUGGCUGAUUAAAAAGCACAGAAAGCCGAACAAGACCCAACCAAAUUUGGUAAUUCAUCCGAUUCAAAAUUGUUUUGGUUAAAUCAAAAAUACAAGUACACGACCGCAGG
rnacentral:lncRNA from 1 species